rnacentral:rRNA from 1 species
CCUACGGGAGGCAGCAGUGGGGAAUAUUGCACAAUGGGGGAAACGCUGAUGCAGCGACGCCGCGUGAGUGAAGAAGUAUCUCGGUACGUAAAGCUCUAUCAGCAGGGAAGAAAAUGACGGUACCUGACUAAGAAGCCACGGCUAACUACGUGCCAGCAGCCGCGGUAAUACGUAGGGGGCCAGCGUUAUCCGGAUUUACUGGGUGGAAAGGGGGCGUAGACGGCAGCACAAGUCUGGAGUGAAAUCCCGGGGCUUAACCCCGGAACUGCUUUGGAAACUGUGCGGCUGGAGUGACGGAGGGGUAAGCGGAAUGCCUAGUGUAGCGGUGACAUGCGUAGAUAUUAGGAGGAACACCGAUGGCGAAGGCGGCUUACUGGACUGUAACUGACGUGGAGGCUCGAAAGCGUGGGGAGCAAACAGGAUUAGAUACCCGGGUAGUC